GUGAACGAGCUUCGUGAGUUUCAGUAGGUUGUAGAAGGACAUUGUUAUCCAUUACUGAGGCUGACAACCAGUUAUGCUUUGUUUUGGAGUAUUGAAAUCUACAAGAGGAGACGGACAUUUGUGACUGAAAGAGAGGAUCGGGGAAGCUCCUUGGGACCACACAGAGCGAUUUUCCAUCCUGCUGGUGUGAUGUAGACUGUCGCUGCUGUUUUCUGUUCCGGUGAUCUUCCUGCUGUGGUUUCUCCGGUGCUCUGCCUGCUGCCAUCGCCAAGUUCGCCUUUUUCAUAUAUCCCCUUGGCUAGGAUUCUGACUCCCCUCAUCCGCUCCAUCUACAACUUCCUGUAAGGGAGAUCACAUUCUCCGAAACAGUGCUGAUCCAGUUCCACUUUUCCCGAGGAGGCUGCGGUGUCAUCCAUUGUUUUGAAAGCUGUCACUUGAUUGCCAUGCAGGGCUGCGAUGGAGAGUUGACAGUCAAGAAAAGAACCUCCUGAACCAUUCCUGCUUAACUCACCUCCACUGGACCUUGCAUAUUAUUUUCCAUCUCAACAUCAAACAUAUUGAAUGAUACUCUAAAAUUUAUAUAUAAAUCGCCCAGUCCUACGUCAGCCCAAAACUUACUUUUCCUGACACAUUUGACAUUAACUUGUACAUAAUUCAUCCCCAUACACUGGAGUAUGUCAUGAGUACAGAUGCCCAUCAAUACACUGUUGCAGGAUAGGUGAAUGA